UACGUAGGGGGCAAGCGUUGUCCGGAUUUACUGGGCGUAAAGAGCGUGUAGGCGGCCAAGCAGGUCCGUUGUGAAAACUGGAGGCUUAACCUCCAGACGUCGACGGAAACCGCGUGGCUAGAGUCCGGAAGAGGAGAGUGGAAUUCCUGGUGUAGCGGUGAAAUGCGCAGAUAUCAGGAAGAACACCAAUGGCGAAGGCAGCCCUCUGGGACGGUACUGACGCUGAGACGCGAAAGCGUGGGGAGCGAACAGG
rnacentral:rRNA from 1 species